rnacentral:rRNA from 1 species
GAUCAACGCUGGCGGCGCACAUAAGACAUGCAAGUUGAACGGACUUAAUCGAAAUAUUUAUAUUUUGAAGCGGUUAGUGGCGGACUGGUGAGUAACGCGUAAGGAACCUGCCUAUUAGAGGGGAAUAACAGUGAGAAAUCAUUGCUAAUACCGCAUAUGCCAUAGAUAUCACAUGAUAACAGUGGGAAAGGAGCAAUCCGCUAAUAGAUGGCCUUGCGUCUGAUUAGAUAGUUGGUGGGGUAACGGCCUACCAAGUCGACGAUCAGUAGCCGGACUGAGAGGUUGAACGGCCACAUUGGGACUGAGAUACGGCCCAGACUCCUACGGGAGGCAGCAGUCGGGAAUAUUGCGCAAUGGAGGAAACUCUGACGCAGUGACGCCGCGUAUAGGAAGAAGGUUUUCGGAUUGUAAACUAUUGUCGUUAGGGAAGAGAAAGGACAGUACCUAAGGAGGAAGCUCCGGCUAACUACGU